rnacentral:rRNA from 1 species
UACAGAGGUCUCAAGCGUUGUUCGGAUUUAUUGGGCGUAAAGGGCGCGUAGGCGGCGGGGUAAGUCGGGUGUGAAAUCUCAGGGCUCAACCCUGAAACUGCACUUGAUACUGCUCUGCUUGAGGACUGGAGAGGAGACUGGAAUUCACGGUGUAGCAGUGAAAUGCGUAGAUAUCGUGAGGAAGACCAGUGGCGAAGGCGGGUCUCUGGACAGUUCCUGACGCUGAGGCGCGAAAGCCAGGGGAGCAAACGGG